UUGCUAUGACAACAAUAAACAAGCUAUAGGCUUAGUACUAGCUCGCUCCUAUCUAACUUAUAAACAGUGUAGCAAGGCGCACUCGCCUCUCUCUGUCUUCGCUGACAAGCAAAACACGCUCGCCUGUCCUCUCCACACAUCUCUCCUGAGCCGCCGCCUCCUGCACUCAGCCGCGGACCGGACCCUUUUACCUGCAGGUUGGGACCUCACCUGAGACUCCAGCAUUGUGCCAGAGCCAACAGGAUACUCAGUCGAUUCCACAGCUUCACCCAGCUUUGGUUUACUGGUGAACACCAAGGGAAAGCGUCUCUGCUGAGCCUCCCAGUGCUCCCAGCGUCUGCAGGAGGAACCUUCUGCUGCGGCUCAGAUUCACCCUCUCAGAGGAGGACGCAUCGAUGUGUGCACACAUAAACAAACUGUGUUUUCAGCCUAAGUAAUGAACUGUGCAAAAACCCA